CUUAAAAAUGGUUAUGCUACACGGACGGACGGACGGAGGGGAGAGGAAGGGGCAAAGAAAAAUAGAGAAAAAUUGAUUUGGUGAGAGAAAAAUGCAGUGACUGCACAGAAGGAAGGGGAAUCGCCAUUUUGGAAUUGCGCCCAUCUACAUACCCGGUUAUGAGGAAACACACAAAACCUCUUGGUCACAGAAAAAAACACUAUCAUUUUUUCACUCUCUGGUCUUGAGAACACAAAAAAUCGCCAACAAAAGAAGUCUGAGCAUUGGCAGAGAGAGAGAGAGCGCAAAGGAAGAAGGAGAAGCCAAGGCAGAGAAAGAGGAGUAGGAGCGACUGGUGCGUCUUGUUCCCUCUACAAGUUUCACUUACUGUACAAUGUCAUCUGGAGGUCCAUCUCGUCUUGAUAAGGUUUCAUUUAUAGUACAAUGUCCACCUAAUUCAGCUGCUGAAGUUGAUCCUCCUUUCCAUAAUCGACCGAUGAUUGAACCUUACGGUCGAGGGUUUGUUCCUCCUAAAGUUGCUUCCCAAGCCAUCACAAAGUCUAUUAGGCAAAAAUUUCUGAAGCCUUGGCCAACAUGGGGAGUCAUACCUCCAGAAGAGAAUGAUCAUUUUUGGCAACAUUUUAAGAUGAAGGUUCAGUGGAGACUUAAGCAUGAACCCCAAAUUAAAAAAAAUUUCCAUGCCAAAGCAUCUCAUAGGCUCUCUCAGAUGUUUAGAGAUGCUAGGAUUGCAGGGGAACGACCUUAUUGGGUUAGCGAGGAUGUGUGAAUAAUUUGCUAGCACAUUGGAAUUCUCCUCUCUAUCGCAACAAAUGUGCUACAACUCAAAAAAAUAGAGCUUCAAAAAAGGGUGGGACUGUACACACAAUUGGUUCCAUUGCCACUCAUGAGCAUGUCAUUCGUAUGACACAAGAGUUGGGACAGUCUGUAUUUGUUGAUGAGGAAGAAUUUGAAACUAAAGUUUCACAGGUCAAAUCUGAGCAAGGGUCAUGUUCUGAGGCAUCAGAAGAGCAUAACAAUAAUGAUGUUGCACAUGAUGAGAUCAUUAGAACUCAGUGUUGGGUUGAGGUUGCCAGUGGAAAAAAUAAAAGAAGAAUGUGUGAGGCGGGACAACUUGCUGCAAAUCACAUUGGUGGAAGAGGUAGCCUUAAGCACCGACCAUCUUCUUCCAUUUGCCGUUCUGAGCAGAUUACAUACCUCAUGCAACAAUUAGAAGCAAGUGACCAGGCUUAUGAAAAUUUGUGAUGCCAAUUUCAAUCCCUUAUAAGUCUAGUCAUGAAAUACUUGCCUCCUGAUGCCCAAACUCAUCUUCAACAGUUUCAGUCCAGCCCAAUAUUGUCCCAACAACAACUCAUCCCAGUCCAAGAACUACAAUCCCAACAACAAGAACAAGACCCUUAACAAUAAGACAAUAGUUUUGAUGAUUAUGUAGAUUAUUAAAACUUUUGUUUUUCUUACAUACUUAUUAGGUUUUUUCAAUGUGGAUACGUUAUUUAGUGACAUAUAAUUACUUCAAUAACUUAUUUUCUUCUGAAAUUGGUUUUGUGAUAUAAUA